UGGGGAAUAUUGGACAAUGGGCGCAAGCCUGAUCCAGCAAUACCUCGUGUGUGAAGAAGGCCCUAGGGUUGUAAAGCACUUUCAAUUGGGAAGAAAAGAUUAAGAUUAAUACUCUUAGUCCUUGACGGUACCUUUAGAAGAAGCACCGGCUAACUCCGUGCCAGCAGCCGCGGUAAUACGGAGGGUGCAAGCGUUAAUCGGAAUUACUGGGCGUAAAGCGCGCGUAGGUGGUUUAGUAAGUCAGAUGUGAAAGCCCCGGGCUUAACCUGGGAACUGCAUUUGAUACUGCUUAACUAGAGUAUGGUAGAGGGAAGUGGAAUUCCACAUGUAGCGGUGAAAUGCGUAGAGAU
rnacentral:rRNA from 1 species